UGAGGAAUAUUGCGCAAUGGGCGAAAGCCUGACGCAGCGACGCCGCGUGGAGGAUGAAGGUCUUCGGAUUGUAAACUCCUGUUAAGUGGGAAGCGGUACCAUUAGAGAAAGCCCGGCUAACUUCGUGCCAGCACCGCGGUAAUACGAGGGUGCAAGCGUUAUUCGGAUUCAUUGGGCGUAAAGGGUGCGUAGACGGCUUAUUAAGUCAACUGUUAAAUUCUCCGGCCUAACCGGAGGCUUGCAGUAGAAACUGAUAGGAUAGAGGGUGGAAGAGAGAAGUGGAAUUCUCGGAGUAGCGGUAAAAUGCGUAGAUCUCGAGAGGAACACCGAUGGCGAAGGCAGCUUCUGGUCCAUCCUGACGUUGAGGCACGAAAGCGUGGGGAGCAAACAGGAUUAGAUA
rnacentral:rRNA from 1 species